rnacentral:rRNA from 1 species
GGAAGGAUCAUUACAGUAUUGUUUAGGGGGGACUGCUGCUGGCUCCUAGGAGCAUGUGCGCGUCUUCCUUUCUAAUAUUCACACCUGUGCACCUAUGGAUGUGGUCCUAUUAUAUAUUAGGACCUUGUCCAUUAUCAUACAUAUAAAGCCUGUCUCUAAUGCAUGUAUUGACGUUCUAAGGAGCGGAUAUAUAAAUACAACUUUCAACAACGGAUCUCUUGGCUUUCGCAUCGAUGAAGAACGCCGCGAAAGUGCGAAACGUAAUGUGAAUUGCAGAAUUCAGUGAAUCAUCGAAUCUUUGAACGCAUCUUGCGCUCCUUGGUAUUCCGAGGAGCAUGCCUGUUUGAGUGUCGCGACCCUCCUCAAUCCCUUCUCCCUCUUCUGUGGGGGUUUUGGGAUUGGACUUUGGACGUCUGCUGUGGGGAACUAGUCCUCUCCUAUCGGCUCGUCUUGAAAUGUAUUAGCUGUGAAACUUGUCGUUAGAACGGUGUGAUAAGAAUACA